UACAGGGGGGGCAAGCGUUGUUCGGAAUUACUGGGCGUAAAGGGCUCGUAGGCGGCCAACUAAGUCCGACGUGAAAUCCCAAAGCUUAACUUUGGAACUGCGUCGGAUACUGGAUGGCUUGAAUUCGGGAGAGGGAUGCAGAAUUCCAGGUGUAGCGGUGAAAUGCGUAGAUAUCUGGAGGAACACCGGUGGCGAAGGCGGCAUCCUGGACCGACACUGACGCUGAGGAGCGAAAGCCAGGGGAGCAAACGGG
rnacentral:rRNA from 1 species